GAUGAACGCUGGCGGCGUGCCUAAUACAUGCAAGUCGAGCGAACAGAUGAGGAGCUUGCUCCUCUGACGUUAGCGGCGGACGGGUGAGUAACACGUGGAUAACCUACCUAUAAGACUGGGAUAACUUCGGGAAACCGGAGCUAAUACCGGAUAAUAUAUUGAACCGCAUGGUUCAAUAGUGAAAGACGGUUUUGCUGUCACUUAUAGAUGGAUCCGCGCCGCAUUAGCUAGUUGGUAAGGUAACGGCUUACCAAGGCAACGAUGCGUAGCCGACCUGAGAGGGUGAUCGGCCACACUGGAACUGAGACACGGUCCAGACUCCUACGGGAGGCAGCAGUAGGGAUUCUUCCGCAUUGGGCGAAAGCCUGACGGAGCAACGCCGCGUGAGUGAUGAAGGUCUUCGGAUCGUAAAACUCUGUUAUUAGGGAAGAACAAAUGUGUAAGUAACUAUGCACGUCUUGACGGUACCUAAUCAGAAAGCCACGGCUAACUACGUG
rnacentral:rRNA from 1 species